rnacentral:rRNA from 1 species
UACAGAGGUCUCAAGCGUUGUUCGGAAUCACUGGGCGUAAAGGGUGUGUAGGUGGCGUGGUAAGUCAGAUGUGAAAGCCCGGGGCUCAACCCCGGAAUUGCAUCCGAUACUGCCAUGCUAGAGUACUGAAGGGGAGUCUAGAAUUCACGGUGUAGCAGUGAAAUGCGUAGAUAUCGUGAGGAAUACCAAAGGCGAAGGCAGGACUCUGGGCAGUAACUGACACUGAGACACGAAGGCUAGGGGAGCAAACGGG